UACGGAGGAUCCGAGCGUUAUCCGGAUUUAUUGGGUUUAAAGGGUGCGCAGGCGGGCCAUUAAGUCGGCGGUGGAAUUUUGCGGCUCAACCGUAAAAGUGCCUUCGAUACUGGUGGUCUUGAGUGUGGAUGAGGUAGGCGGAAUUUGUGGUGUAGCGGUGAAAUGCAUAGAUAUCACGAGGAACUCCGAUUGCUAAGGCAGCUUACUAAGCCAUAACUGACGCUCAAGCACGAAGGCGUGGGGAUCAAACAGGAUUAGAUACCCGGGUAGU
rnacentral:rRNA from 1 species